rnacentral:misc_RNA from 1 species
AAGUCGUAACAAGGUUUCCGUAGGUGAACCUGCGGAAGGAUCAUUAUUGAAGCUUGAAUCGUAGCAUUGAGAACUGUUGCUGACCUGUGAAAGGGUAUGUGCACGUUCGAUGUGUUGCGUUUUAUUCUUUUCCCCCUGUGCACGUUUGUAGACUUGGUUAGGUUUUCGCUGUUGAGUGGUUAGAAGGGGUUGCUUUCUAGCUCCCUUUAUUUUCACUCUGAAGCGGUUAGAAGGGUUGCUUUCAAGCUCCCUUUGUGUACCAAGUCUAUGUCUAUAAUCUCUUGUAUGUCUAGAAUGUCUUGUUUAUGGGACGCAAGUCCUUUAAAUUUUAUACAACUUUCAACAACGGAUCUCUUGGCUCUC